AAGGUCAUUUUGACUAUGCCGAAGACAGUAGGUGUCCCAAGUGAGAAAAGAAGCUGAAGGGACGUAAGCUUAUCACCUACCGAGGAGAAGAGUUUUUAUGGUAAAUUCUACCCUUCCGCCUUCGGAAGGGUUUUUUAUCAAUAAG
rfam:Lachnospiraceae bacterium 10-1 genomic scaffold acPFo-supercont1.2, whole genome shotgun sequence.